GGACAAAAUGGCUAGUCGGUUGUAAUUAGGGCCCAGCAGGCCGGCCCAGCAGGAAACUAUGAAUCACAAUUAGCCCAGAAAAACGUUGAUGUUGUUGUUGUUGUAUUUGACCCCUGGUGUCAUUAAGUCAGACAAACUGAGACAGUAGCGUGAUUAAAGAGGCCGCCUGCUGUUGUCUCAGCAGGAGGUCCUGGAGUAUCACAAGAGAAAGAUUAACUGGAGCAAAGAGGAGAGGAGAGCGAGGAGGAGAGGUGAGCGAGGAGGAGACAGGAGGAGAGGUGAGCGAGGAGGAGAGGUGAGCGAGGAGGAGACAAGAGGGGAGGGGAGCGAGGAGGAGACAAGAGGAGAGGUGAGCGAGGAGGAGACAGGAGGAGAGGUGAGCGAGGAGGAGAGGUGAGCGAGGAGGAGACAGGAGGAGAGGGGAGCGAGGAGGAGAGGUGAGCGAGGAGGAGACAGGAGGGGAGGUGAGCGAGGAGGAGACAGGAGG
ensembl:lncRNA